rnacentral:rRNA from 1 species
UACGCAGGUGGCAAGCGUUGUCCGGAAUUAUUGGGCGUAAAGCGCGCGCAGGUGGUUCCUUAAGUCUGAUGUGAAAGCCCACGGCUCAACCGUGGAGGGUCAUUGGAAACUGGGGAACUUGAGUGCAGAAGAGGAAAGUGGAAUUCCAAGUGUAGCGGUGAAAUGCGUAGAGAUUUGGAGGAACACCAGUGGCGAAGGCGGCUUUCUGGUCUGUAACUGACAAUGAGGCGCGAAAGCGUGGGGAGCAAACAGG